rfam:Morus notabilis contig20467, whole genome shotgun sequence.
GGUGGCAAAUGAUGAGAACUUAUUGCAUAACUGAUGAACUGUGGUGACACUACUCCGCUUAUUAUCUGAUGCCAUC